GCCUUACUUUUUUGCUGUUUUUGGCCACUUUUGAAAAAUGGAAAAAGUCGCUAAAAAUGGACGAAAAGUUAAGCCUAUAGCCUUACUUUUUUGCUGUUUUUUGCCCACUUAUGAAAAAUGAAAAAAGUCGCUAAAAAUGGACGAAAAGUAAAGGGUAUAGCCUUACUUUUUUGGUGUUUUUUUGGCUACUUAUGAAAAAUGAAAAAAGUCGCUAAAAAUGGACGAAAAGUAAAGGGUAUAGCCUUACUUUUUUGCUGUUUUUUGCCCACUUAUGAAAAAAGUCGCCAAAAAUGGACGAAAAGGUAAGGGUAUAGACUUACUUUCUUGCUGUUUUUUGCCCACUUAUGAAAAAUGAAAAAAGUCGCGAAAAAUGGACGAAAAGUUAAGCCUAUAGCCUUACUUUUUUGCUGUUUUUUCGGCCACUUAUGAAAAAUGGAAAAAGUCGCUAAAAAUGGACGAAAAGUUAAGCCUAUAGCCUUACUUUUUUGCUGUUUUUUGGCCACUUAUGAAAAAUGGAAAAAGUCGCUAAAAAUGGACGAAAAGUUAAGCCUAUAGCCUUACCUUGCUGUUUUUUGCCCACUUAUGAAAAAUGAAAAAAGUCGCGAAAAAUGGACGAAAAGUAAAGGGUAUAGCCUUACUUUUUUGCUGUUUUUUGCCCACUUAUGAAAAAUGAAAAAAGUCGCUAAAAAUGGACGAGGGCUAUAGCCUUACUUUUUUGCUGUUUUAUGCCCACUUAUGAAAAAUGAAAUAAGUCGCCAAAAAUGGACGAAAAGUAAAGGGUAUAUAUAGUCUUACCUUUUUUCUCCUUUUUGUCUCUUUACGGAAAAUGAAAAAUGUCGUAAAAAUUGCUUUUUGCUGUUGUUUGACCUUUUUAAUUACUUUUUUGCUGUUUUUUGCCCCUUUACAAAAAAGUCGUUAAAAUCGAUGAAAAGUUAAGGCAAUAACCUUACUUAUUUGCUGUUUCUGCCCAGUCUUUCGUCUUAUCUGUUUCAAGCAUUGUACUUGUUCGUUUUAAAGUUUGUUCUUCCGUUGAAGUGAUUUCUUCAAUUUCUUUCUUUUUUUUAGUUUUUCGUUUUAAGGUUACAGAACACCUUUGAGUGUUAAUUUUGCAUAAAAUUUUUGUAUUGGUUUCCAUGAAAGCAUUAGACUAGUUCUACUAUCUGACUUAGUUUGAACGAAAAAUGUUGAAAGCUCGCAGAGUUAUUUAAAACUCGUAGAGUUAUUUAAUAAAAUACAUUUCGCUGGAAUAAGAAAAACAUUGAAAUGUAAUAAAGUUUACGGUAAUCACUGAUUUUUAAACGAGUUGUGCUCCUGCGGGUUUUAACCAAUUUUUCUCAAAU
rnacentral:lncRNA from 1 species